AGUGAACGCUGGCGGUAGGCCUAACACAUGCAAGUCGAACGGCAGCACAGUAAGAGCUUGCUCUUACGGGUGGCGAGUGGCGGACGGGUGAGGAAUACAUCGGAAUCUACUUUUUCGUGGGGGAUAACGUAGGGAAACUUACGCUAAUACCGCAUACGACCUACGGGUGAAAGCAGGGGAUCUUCGGACCUUGCGCGAUUGAAUGAGCCGAUGUCGGAUUAGCUAGUUGGCGGGGUAAAGGCCCACCAAGGCGACGAUCCGUAGCUGGUCUGAGAGGAUGAUCAGCCACACUGGAAGUGAGACACGGUCCAGACUCCUACGCGAGGCAGCAGUGGGGAAUAUUGGACAAGGGGCGCAAGCCUGAUCCAGCCAUACCGCGUGGGUGAAGAAGGCCUUCGGGUUGGAAAGCCCUUUUGUUGGGAAAGAAAAGCAGCAGGUUAAUACCCCGCUGUUCUGACGGUACCCAAAGAAUAAGCACCGGCUAACUUCGUG
rnacentral:rRNA from 1 species